AGUGUAGUGAAAAGACAGGCAGUCAGUGCUGAGAGGAAUUUGUGGAAAUUUCAAGGUCCGACAGUCUCCCUCCUCAGGAGGUGUAACCAAUGGCAAUAUGAAUGAUUAUCAGGCAAAUGGUCCCACCUAUGACAACGUAGGGUUCCAGCAUGAGGACGGGAGACCCCCUCCUACUGCCCCGCAGCAGGGUUUAUACCCUUCCCUCCAACAAGUGACCCCCAGCUACGUUGCCGUGUCUCCCCAAACCAUCAACACCCACCACACCGUGGUGCCCGGACAGCCGCCUAACAAGGGACAGAAGACAGGAAUAAACAAAUGUCAGGUGAAAUAUAUCCUGUGUGCAUCCCUGUCUGUGCUCGUCAUCCUGGCAGUGGUCGGCCUGUUGCUCUGGUACUUCUUAUACUACCAGUGUUUACUAGGGAUGAUGUGUGGAAGUGGUGUGACGUGUUUGAGCCACUCCCAGUGGUGCAACGGUGUGAAGGACUGUCCUCACGGAGAGGAUGAAUCUCAGUGCUUUCGCCUCCACGGGACUAACUUAAUGCUGGAGGGUUACUCAUCAGACAAGCGGAUAUGGGUGCCGGUGUGUGCUGAAAACUGGAAUAACAACUACGGGCAAGCUGUGUGUGAGCAGAUGGGGUACAAGAGGCCGGGUUAUGUGCCCUUCACCCAAACCAGUGCCGGUUCUUUGGCCUCGAAGGGAUACAUUAAGCUGAAGUCGGGAAGUAACCAUGGUUCAAACAUACUUUCCCAGCUCAUGUACAGCCAAAGCUGCCCAGUCAGAGCAGUCAAGCUUCAAUGUGUUGAAUGCGGAGUGAGUUCAGCAGCCCCCGGUGCUCGCAUUGUGGGUGGUACGCAGGCAGCAAACGGGGCCUGGCCGUGGCAGGUCAGUCUCCAGAUCAACGGUCAACACAUUUGCGGAGGCUCCAUCAUCAGCCGUGACUGGAUCCUAUCGGCCGCACAUUGCUUCCAAACGCACUCCCAUCCUGGAAUGUGGAUGGUACAGUCGGGCGACGUGAGCUUGCUUCAGAUGAGCUUCAGCCGUGGCAAAACAGUGAACAAAAUUAUUAGUCAUGCAAAAUUCGACAGACGAACUAAUGACAAUGACAUUGCUCUCCUGAAACUCAAUGCGCCUCUUGAAAUCACAAGGACGGUGAAGCCAGUGUGUAUCCCCAACACCGGCGUGGACCUCUCUGCUGGACGUCAAGCCUGGAUCACAGGAUGGGGAGCACUGCGAUCAUCUGGUGUGUAUACAUGUUCCAUCUUCCCAUUUGUACUUUCUGAACUUUUCAUUCCUCCGCUGUAAAUUAUUUGUCCAAAAAGUUUCAGGGUUUAAGGCUGAAAGUCCCAGUAAGGGAUCAGUGCUUUUACAAUUCUUGACUGAGCUAACUGUGGGUGUGUUAAUCAUUGAUAUUCUUUGAGGAUCGUCCCCGGAUAGAUUAAAUCAGGCCCAGGUGACCAUCUACAGCAGAGACACCUGUAACAGCGCUCAGGUGUUGAAUGGAGCAAUCACUGAGACCAUGAUCUGUGCCGGCAAGCUGCAGGGAGGAGUCGACACAUGUCAGGGUGACAGCGGAGGGCCCCUGGUGGUCAAGGAGGGAGGUUUAUGGUGGCUGGCAGGGGACACUAGCUGGGGGUUCGGAUGUGCUUUAAAGGACAAGCCAGGAGUCUACGGAAAUGUCACCUACUUCAUCAACUGGAAUGAGUGACCGAGUUCUCGGAGCACCCGAAGACAACCCUCUAAUUAGCAGUACUUACUCCAUCACACAUCUUGCACUUUAAAUCUGAAGCUCCGAGGGAAGUCAUUGAUCAGGAAGUUUUUCGUACAACAGAAUUAAAACUGUAUCGUUUCAUUAUUUUUAUACACUUAUUAGUACAAAUUUAAGGUUUGUAUUUGUUACAAAAAACAAGCUAUUUAUUUGUUUUAAUUAAAAAAAUUGUG